rnacentral:lncRNA from 1 species
CUCCACCACCAUACUACUACAAGUCUCCUCCCCCACCAUCACCGUCUCCUCCUCCACCAUACUACUACAAAUCCCCACCACCACCAUCCCCAUCGCCUCCUCCACCAUACUACUACAAGUCCCCACCACCACCAUCUCCAUCACCCCCACCUCCAUACUACUACAAAUCCCCACCUCCACCGUCACCGUCUCCUCCUCCACCAUACUACUACAAAUCACCACCACCCCCAUCACCAUCACCGCCACCUCCUUACUACUACCACUCUCCACCACCCCCAUCACCAUCACCCCCACCUCCUUACUACUACCACUCUCCACCACCACCAUCACCAUCUCCCCCUCCUCCUUACUACUAUCACUCCCCACCACCACCAUCACCAUCUCCCCCACCUCCUUACUACUACCACUCCCCACCUCCACCCGUGAAGUCUCCUCCUCCUCCAUACUACUACAACUCACCUCCCCCACCCGUAAAAUCACCUCCGCCUCCAGUAUACAUCUACAC